AUUGAACGCUGGCGGCAUGCUUUACACAUGCAAGUCGAACGGUAACAGGCCGCAAGGUGCUGACGAGUGGCGAACGGGUGAGUAAUGCAUCGGAACGUGCCCAGUCGUGGGGGAUAACGCAGCGAAAGCUGUGCUAAUACCGCAUACGAUCUGUGGAUGAAAGCGGGGGACCGUAAGGCCUCGCGCGAUUGGAGCGGCCGAUGUCAGAUUAGGUAGUUGGUGGGGUAAAGGCUCACCAAGCCGACGAUCUGUAGCUGGUCUGAGAGGACGACCAGCCACACUGGGACUGAGACACGGCCCAGACUCCUACGGGAGGAAGCAGUGGGGAAUUUUGGACAAUGGGCGCAAGCCUGAUCCAGCAAUGCCGCGUGCAGGAAGAAGGCCUUCGGGUUGUAAACUGCUUUUGUACGGAGCGAAAAGGCUCCCUCUAAUACAGGGGGCUCAUGACGGUACCGUAAGAAUAAGCACCGGCUAACUACGUGCCAGCAGCCGCCGUAACAC
rnacentral:rRNA from 1 species